rnacentral:rRNA from 2 species
CUUCGGGACAGAAUGACAGGUGGUGCAUGGUUGUCGUCAGCUCGUGUCGAGAGAUGUUGAGUAAGUCCCGCAAGGAGCGCAACCCUCGAUCUAUAGUUGCCAGCAUUCAGUUAGGCACUCUAAGGUGACUGCCGGUGACAAACCGGAGGAAGGUGGAGAUGACGUCAAAUCAUCAAGCCCCUUAUGACCUGGGCUACACACGUGCUACAAUGGACAGAACAAAGGGCUGCGAGACCGCAAGGUUUAGCCAAUCCCACAAAUCUGUUCUCAGUUCGGAUCGCAGUCUGCAACUCGACUGCGUGAAGCUGGAAUCGCUAGUAAUCGCGGAUCAGCAUGCCGCGGUGAAUACGUUCCCGGGCCUUGUACACACCGCCCGUCACACCACGAGAGUUUGCAACACCCGAAGUCGGUGAGGUAACCUUUAUGGAGCCAGCCGCCGAAGGUGGGGCAGAUGAUUGGGGUGAAGUCGUAACAAGGUAGCCGUAUCGGAAGGUGCGGCUGGAUCACCUCCUU